CGCAGGGCGCUGGUGCCACUCGACGGGGCGGUGGUCGCGUCCCAACGAGAAGGGAGUUUCCACAUCUUGGCUAUUGUGAAUAAUGCUGCAAUGAACUUGGGAGUACAGAAAACAUCUUCAAGGGCCUCCCUGGUGGCUCAAGGGGUUAAGAUGCAACCUAUCAAGCUCUCCACAGCCACUUCAGCACGAGUUCGAUUCCUAGCCAGGGAGCUACUCACAUCGCGCAGCAGACCUCUCCUGACUCUCCCGCUGCUCCCCUCAGCAUUGUAUUUCAGUCAAUCUGCCUGUUCUGUCUCUAGUGAAUCCUCUCACCCCCCCCCCCAAACACACACCUCUGGUCUAUGCCAUGUUCUUGUAUGCAUAAAUA